rnacentral:rRNA from 1 species
AUGGCCGGCGGCGACGAGGAGGCCACGACGGCGCUGCUGCCGCCGCCAGCGGGGUCGGCGGAGGCGGAGCGCCCGCCUCCCCCGCCGGCCGACCGGCUCGGGGUCGGCUACCUCAUCUUCUUCACGCUCGGCGCCGGGUUCCUGCUCCCCUGGAACGCCUACAUCACCGCCGUCGACUACUUCUCCUACCUCUACCCGGGCGCGCCCGUUGACCGCGUCUUCUCCGUCUCCUACAUGCUCUCCUGCCUCCUCCCGCUGCUCCUCAUCGUGCUCGUCUUCCCCAAGUCCAGCGCCCCGGCCCGCAUCAACACCGGGCUCACCCUCUUCACGCUCGCGCUCCUUGUCGUCCCCGUCAUGGACGCCGUCUACGUCAAGGGCACCCCGCGCCUCUACGGCGCCUUCGACGUCACUGUCGCCGCCACCGUCAUGUGCGGCGUCGCCGACGCGCUCGUGCAGGGCGGGGUCAUCGGCUUCGCCGGGGAGCUCCCCGAGCGCUACAUGCAGGCUGUCGUCGCCGGAACCGCCGCUUCAGGUGUACUUGUCUCAGCACUUCGAGUGAUCACAAAAGCGAGCUUCCCUCAGGACCCCAAUGGGCUAAGGCAAAGCGCAAUCCUGUACUUCAUGGUUGGCAUGGUGGUCAUGAUCAUCUGCAUAGUGUGCUACAACGUGGCGCGCAGGCUUCCCGUCGUGGUGUACUACAAGAACAUCAAGCAGAGGGCUCAGAAGGCGGAGGUGGGCGGCGGCAUGACGGGGCCUGCCUGGAGGUCGACGCUGUGGAGCAUUGUCGGGACGGUGAAGUGGUACGGGAUAGGAGUGGUUCUCAUCUAUGCAGUCACCCUGUCCAUAUUUCCGGGGUUCAUCACGGAGGACGUGCACUCGGAUGCGCUCAAGGACUGGUACCCCAUCAUGCUCAUCAGCGCCUACAACGUGUUUGAUCUCAUCGGCAAGUGCCUGCCGGCCAUCUACCUCCUGCAGAACUCCAAUGUUGCCGUUGCCGGUUCGUUCUCGAGGCUCCUGUUCUAUCCCCUCUUCUAUGGCUGCCUGCACGGACCCAGCUACUUCCGCACCGAGAUCCCGGUCACCGUGCUGACCUGCCUUCUCGGGCUCACCAACGGGUACCUGACCUCCGUGCUCAUGAUCCUCGCGCCCAAGGCCGUGCCCAUACACCACUCCGAGACCGCGGGGAUCGUCAUAGUGCUGUUCCUUGUGGUUGGGCUGGUCCUCGGUUCGUUUGUUGCUUGGUUUUGGGUCAUCUGA